rnacentral:rRNA from 1 species
GCGGAGGAAAAGAAACUAACAAGGAUUCCCCUAGUAACGGCGAGUGAAGCGGGAAGAGCUCAAAUUUAAAAUCUGGCGGUCACCCGUCCGAGUUGUAGUCUAGAGAAGCAUCAUCUACGCUGGACCAUGUACAAGUCUCUUGGAACAGAGCGUCAUAGAGGGUGAGAAUCCCGUCCUUGACAUGGACUCCCAGUGUUCUGUGUUGUGCUCUCAACGAGUCGAGUUGUUUGGGAAUGCAGCUCAAAAUGGGUGGUAAAUUCCAUCUAAAGCUAAAUAUUGGCGAGAGACCGAUAGCGAACAAGUACCGUGAGGGAAAGAUGAAAAGCACUUUGGAGAGAGAGUUAAACAGUACGUGAAAUUGUUGAAAUGGAAACGCUUGAAGUCAGUCGCGUUCUCUGGGAUUCAGCCUUGNCUUUUGCUUGGUGCAUUUCCUAGUCUACGGGCCAGCAUGGAUUUCGACCGUCGGAAAAGGGCUGGGGGAAUGUGGCACUUUCGGGUGUGUUAUAGCCCCCUGUCGCACACGUCGGUUGGGAUCGAGGACCUCAGUGCACGCUUCGGUUGUGCUUUGAUGCUGGCGUAAUGGCUUUAAACGACCCGUCUUGAAACACGG